AAGGACCCAGAGUGGGCAGAGGAUAGUCUUCCUCCCCUACAGUUUGGCGAUGAGGAUGGGAUAAAAAAUCCAGCUCCUGGACUACUGCAGCUGAGAGGUCCUGGACCCCUGACAAGAGCCAGCAGGAGACUUGAAGGAAAUGUGACAAAGCGCCAUGCAGACACACGUGGACACCCACCUUCGUUCAUAUGGUCGACUUCUCAUCAGCUGGUCCUAUUGGAAUCUUGUCCAGAGCUGGUUUGGGGAGUAAGGACUUGUCAUCAUCAACGCCAUCCCUCCUUGGCUUCUAUACAGGUGGCCUCAGGGGACCUCUCCUGGCAGUGUGCUGUGAUGUUUAAGAUCAGAUGGCCUGGGUCUAACAUGCAGAAGCCUGUCUCUCCCAGUUCCCUGUGUUAAUCUGCUCUCACAUCCCAGAAGCUGAACCCCACUUUGAAGCUGGACAUCUCAUCUCAUCUGCUCCUGUGCUCGGACUGGGGUUCACACCCUCGGUUCCCCUGGUUCUCAGGCCUUGGGACUUGGGCUGAAUUGCACCACUGGCUUUCCUGGGUCUCCAGCUUGCAGACAGCAGAUUGUGAGACUUCUCAGCCUCCAUAAUCACACUCCUUCCAGAGGUUGCCUCCUGGUGCAUCCUUGGCUCCAGGUGCUGCUGCUGAAAUCAAGUCCUAUCCACCUAGGAGCUCAGCCCAGGUCCCGAGAACCCUGCCUGGGAAUCUGGCUUUGCGGGUCUCCUAGCCUUGAACUGGAUCAACUCAGGACCAGGAACUACUAGGACGCAGAAGUGAUUCUAGUGGACAGAAGGUUGGCCUAUAACUUGUUUUCUUCCGGCUGUUUGGUAUUUUCUCUGCCAUCUAUAAAUCAUCAGAUCCAGGCUUUCUGUAUAGUCUCUACAGAUUUCUUUUUU